UAAGAGGUAGUAUAGUAGGUAGUACUAAAAGUUUUGAGCUUUUUAGUUCGGGUUCGACUCCCGUGCUCUUA
rnacentral:tRNA from 1 species